CAAUAGCGUAUAUUAAAGUUGUUGCAGUUAAAAAGCUCGUAGUUGAAGUUCUGGCUGUUUGACCCUCGAGCUCUGUAGCCGAGGGCUCAACAGUCAUCCGCUUGCAAACAUAUGUUCGCCUUUAACCGGGCGGCUAUGUGAGUAAGCAUUUUACCUUGAGAAAAACAGAGUGUUCCAGGCAGGUUUGUCCGGAAUGCAUUAGCAUGGAAUAAUAGAAUAUGACUGAAGUCGAUUUAUUGGUUUGAGGCUUUAGUAAUGAUUAAUAGGAACAGUCGGGGGCGAUUGGUACUUGACAGUCAGAGGUGGAAAUUACUAGGAUUUGUUCAAAGAACUAACAAAUAGCGAAAGACAUUUGUCCAACGGAAGUGUUUUCUUAUUAAUUCAAGAACGAAAGUUAAGGGGAGUCAAAGAACGAUCAGAUACCAU
rnacentral:rRNA from 1 species